rnacentral:rRNA from 2 species
UGUCGUCAGCUCGUGUUGUGAAAUGUUGGGUUAAGUCCCGCAACGAGCGCAACCCUUAUCCUUUGUUGCCAGCGAUUAGGUCGGGAACUCAAAGGAGACUGCCAGUGAUAAACUGGAGGAAGGUGGGGAUGACGUCAAGUCAUCAUGGCCCUUACGACCAGGGCUACACACGUGCUACAAUGGCGCAUACAAAGAGAAGCGACCUCGCGAGAGCAAGCGGACCUCAUAAAGUGCGUCGUAGUCCGGAUUGGAGUCUGCAACUCGACUCCAUGAAGUCGGAAUCGCUAGUAAUCGUGGAUCAGAAUGCCACGGUGAAUACGUUCCCGGGCCUUGUACACACCGCCCGUCACACCAUGGGAGUGGGUUGCAAAAGAAGUAGGUAGCUUAACCUUCGGGAGGGCGCUUACCACUUUGUGAUUCAUGACUGGGGUGAAGUCGUAACAAGGUAACCGUAGGGGAACCU